GAUCUGGUAGCUCAGUUGGCAGAGCAUCUCCCUUUUAAGGAGAGGGUCCUGGGUUCGAGCCCCCCCAGCCAGAUCA
rnacentral:tRNA from 1 species